rnacentral:rRNA from 1 species
GAUGAACGCUGGCGGCGUGCCUAAUACAUGCAAGUCGAGCGAACAGACGAGGAGCUUGCUCCUCUGACGUUAGCGGCGGACGGGUGAGUAACACGUGGAUAACCUACCUAUAAGACUGGGAUAACUUCGGGAAACCGGAGCUAAUACCGGAUAAUAUAUUGAACCGCAUGGUUCAAUAGUGAAAGACGGUUUUGCUGUCACUUAUAGAUGGAUCCGCGCCGCAUUAGCUAGUUGGUAAGGUAACGGCUUACCAAGGCAACGAUGCGUAGCCGACCUGAGAGGGUGAUCCGCCACACCUGAACUGAGACCCCGUCCCGACCCCUAAGGGAGGCAGCCGUAGGGAAUCUUUCGCAAUGGGCGAAAGCCUGACGGAGCAACGGCGCGUGAGUGAUGAAGGGUCUCGGAUCGUAAAACCCUGUUAUUAGGGAAGAACAAAUGUGUAAGUAACUAUGCACGUCUUGACGGUACCUAAUCAGAAAGCCACGGCUAACUACGUG